UACGUAUGGGGCGAGCGUUGUUCGGAAUUAUUGGGUGUAAAGGGCGUCUAGGCGGGAGAUUAAGUUAGAUGUGAAAGGCGUGGGCUUAAUCCACGAAUUGCAUCUAAAACUGGUUUUCUUGAGUUCGGGAGAGGAGAGCGGAAUUCUUGGUGUAGCGGUGAAAUGCGUAGAUAUCAAGAAGAACACCAGUGGCGAAGGCGGCUCUCUGGCCUAGAACUGACGCUGAAGCGCGAAAGCGUGGGUAGCGAACGGGAUUAGAUACCCGUGUAGUCCCUGA
rnacentral:rRNA from 1 species